AACCUUAUGGACCUGCGGGCGUAUACCUGCGGAAGGAUCAUUACCGAGUGCGGGCCCUCCGGGUCCAACCUCCCACCCGUGUCUACCGUACCUUGUUGCUUCGGCGGGCCCGCCCGCAGUGGCCGCCCCGGGGGGCUCUCGCCCCCGGGCCCGUGCCCGCCGGAGACACCAGCCUGAACCCUGUGAAGGUUGCCGUCUGAGUGGAUUGAUCGAAUCGUUAAAACUUUUAACAACGGAUCU
rnacentral:misc_RNA from 1 species